CUGCUGCCUUCCGUAGGAGUUUGGGCCGUGUCUCAGUCCCAAUGUGGCCGUCCACCCUCUCAGGCCGGCUACUGAUCGUCGCCUUGGUGGGCCGUUACCCCGCCAACAAGCUAAUCAGACGCGGGUCCAUCUUACACCACCGGAGUUUUUCACACAAAUCCAUGCGGCUUCGUGCGCUUAUGCGGUAUUAGCACCUAUUUCUAAGUGUUAUCCCCCAGUGUAAGGCAGGUUACCCACGCGUUACUCACCCGUCCGCCACUAA
rnacentral:rRNA from 1 species